rnacentral:rRNA from 1 species
AACGAACGCUGGCGGCAGGCCUAACACAUGCAAGUCGAGCGGGCGUAGCAAUACGUCAGCGGCGGACGGGUGAGUAACACGUGGGAAUAUGCCUUUCGGUUUGGAACAACUCGGGGAAACCCGUGCUAAUUCCGGAUACGCCCUUAGGGGGAAAGAUUUAUCGCCGAAAGAUUAGCCCGCGUCCGAUUAGCUAGUUGGUGAGGUAACGGCCCACCAAGGCGACGAUCGGUAGCUGGUUUGAGAGAACGACCAGCCACACUGGGACUGAGACACGGCCCAGACUCCUACGGAGGCAGCAGUGGGGAAUCUUGGACAAUGGAGGAAACUCUGAUCCAGCCAUGCCGCGUGAGUGAU